AAGUCGUAACAAGGUUUCCGUAGGUGAACCUGCGGAAGGAUCAUUCACAAUAAGUGUUCAAUGGCACUUUUAAAAUCCAUUACCCACCUUGUGUGCAAUGUAAGGAGGAGGGGGGCUGUCAGACUUUUUUUGGGUCUGGCUUCCCUCUUUCAUUAUACAUACCCAAUCUUUUCUUGUUGUCUACUUUUUGAGUAUAAAAAACUCGAAUACAACUUUCAACAACGGAUCUCUUGGCUCUC
rnacentral:misc_RNA from 1 species